ACCAAAAGCACAUCUCCGAGAGAGAAAAAGCACUCGUGCCACGGCUUUGGCUCCCUUUGAGUGUAUUAGGACAACGUGUCCAGUGUGGUUGGCUUCCUGUCAUGUGUCUUCAUGGACCUGAAACAGUCUGUUCUUGCUAAUC
rnacentral:lncRNA from 14 species